rnacentral:tRNA from 1 species
GCCUGGCUGGCUCAGUCAGUAAAGCAUGUGACUCUUGAUCUCAGGGUUGUGGGCUUGAGACCCAUGUUGGGUG